GUCGUUGGAUAGGUCUUGUCAAUAGGAAUAACUUUUGCUUUGACAGCUUUGUUGUCACAGUUGUCCGUUCAGAGAUUUAUGACAUAUAAGUUCCGAUAGGAUAAAAUGUAGUUUUAAAAUUAAUAGUGGAGGAGUGUUGUGUUUGUGGUCAUCGUAUAUGGUGACCUCUUUGUGAGGUGACAGUUCACCUGUCACGCUUAUUAAGAAAAUGGCAGCUAACGAGCAAUUGUAUUAUUAAUUACCGCCAACCCGCAAUGUAUUUUUGAAUUGCAUCACAAUCUGAUAAUAGUUAUGGAAGAUUUCCGCAACUGUGUGAUGUGUAGGCGAGGCCUUUAUCGUGGCAGAUAUCAGCGACAUACUCUGACAGAUAAUAUACCAAAAGCGCAACCAGAGAUUGCUGCAUUCAUACAACAACAUGCAGAGUUGGAGUUCUUCCUAAGGCACAUAGAAUAGGCAUGCUGUCUGUGUAGAAGCAUAUAUUGGAUUUUUUUGUGUCUUUUAUUUGUGUAGCUCCGUCAAAUAGGCUGGCAGCUUCUGCCUUAAAAACAGUAGCUUUGUUCCCGAAACUGACAUAGUAUUCUAAGUUAAGUUACGGGCAGAAUACACCUCCACCGCGGCCCUUUUUGUUUUUUAUCGUCAGAUAUUGUCAUCCAAUAUGCCCAGAUCUCGUCUGAUAGUGUAGAUAGUGUAAUUAUAAUAAUAAAUAAUUAAAUAAU